rnacentral:lncRNA from 10 species
ACAGGAGUCGCAGCAGCUGUGUUUUUCCUUUCACCAAGAAAAUGAAAGCUUUCCCCAGAAGAUGGAGAUAUUUCCACUUUCAUCUCACCGGACAGAAUGAUGGCACUUAGGUGCUGGGGAAGUGAGAAAUUUGUUUCCUAUAGAAGGGGUUUCCCGGAGAAGGGCUGGAGAUGACAGGUCACCAGCUCAGCAAGGUCCACAGCGCUGCUCUCUGGGUAGGAGGAGACGGCCUCUGCCGGCCUGCAAGGCCUGUUCAAAACACCCUGAGCCUGGGGUAUUUAAGGUGCUUCGUGCCUGAUUCCUUACAACUCACUCAGAGCAAAUGGUUUAGACAAGCACCAAUCUUGAAGGAAUUGAAAACACUUUGCUAAAUAAAAUGAAUCAUUUCAGAUUCCCAAGAUUAACUGGCGUUCUGUAGGUCGGCACAAAGUCGUGGCUUUGCCAUCUGACGGAGGACGCGCAGCGGUCGUCUCUGGCUGGGUAGACUGAGACCUGAACGCUGAGGGACUUAGGACCAGCAGUGCCGUCCAGGCCUGGCUGCAGACGGAAACUACUUCAAGAUAAGCUCCACCAAAAAUAGAGAGGAAAUCAAGAAGAUUAAGACGCAGGAUCCAGCGCAACGCUCCAGCACAGGAGAGACCAAAAGAACGUUUGACAAUCCACUGACUUCCUAGAAAACAGAAGAGUGGGCUGGGCAUGGUGGCUCACGCCUGUAAUCCCAGCACUCUGGGAGGCUGAGGUGGGUGGAUUACCUGAGAUCAGGAAUUCGGGACCAGCCUGGAGAAACCCCGUCUCUAAAAAUACAAAAAUUAGCCGAACGUGAUGGCGCACGCCUUGUAGUCCCAGCUACUCAAGAGACUGAGGCAGGAGAAUGGCGUGAACCCGGGAAGCAGAGGUUGUAGUCAGCCAAGAUCGCGCCA